rnacentral:rRNA from 1 species
AAAUUGAAGAGUUUGAUCAUGGCUCAGAUUGAACGCUGGCGGCAGGCCUAACACAUGCAAGUCGAGCGGUAGCACAGGGAGCUUGCUCCUGGGUGACGAGCGGCGGACGGGUGAGUAAUGUCUGGGAAACUGCCUGAUGGAGGGGGAUAACUACUGGAAACGGUAGCUAAUACCGCAUAAUGUCGCAAGACCAAAGAGGGGGA